rnacentral:rRNA from 1 species
GACGAACGCUGGCGGCGUGCUUAACACAUGCAAGUCGAGCGGAAAGGCCCUGCUUUUGUGGGGUGCUCGAGUGGCGAACGGGUGAGUAACACGUGAGUAACCUGCCCUUGACUUUGGGAUAACUUCAGGAAACUGGGGCUAAUACCGGAUAGGAGCUCCUGCUGCAUGGUGGGGGUUGGAAAGUUUCGGCGGUUGGGGAUGGACUCGCGGCUUAUCAGCUUGUUGGUGGGGUAGUGGCUUACCAAGGCUUUGACGGGUAGCCGGCCUGAGAGGGUGACCGGGCCAAUGGGGAACGGGAGACGGGCCCGAGCCCUAAGGGAGGGAGGAGGGGGGGAAAUUGGCCAAAGGGGGGAAGCCCGGUGCAGGAAACCCGCGGGGGGGGUUGACGGCUUCGGGGUUGAAACCCGCUUUGGCCUGUAAGGAGGCGUGGGUGAGGGAAAUGGUUAAAAAAGCCCCGGCAAACCAGGG